rnacentral:rRNA from 1 species
GACGAACGCUGGCGGCGUGCUUAACACAUGCAAGUCGAACGGAAAGGCCCUGCUUUUGUGGGGUGCUCGAGUGGCGAACGGGUGAGUAACACGUGAGUAACCUGCCCUUGACUUUGGGAUAACUUCAGGAAACUGGGGCUAAUACCGGAUAGGAUCUCCUGCUGCAUGGUGGGGGUUGGAAAGUUUCGGCGGUUGGGGAUGGACUCGCGGCUUAUCAGCUUGUUGGGGGGGUAGUGGCUUACCAAGGCUUUGACGGGUAGCCGGCCUGAGAGGGUGACCGGCCACAUGGGGACUGAGAUACGGCCCAGACUGGAAUGGGAGGCAGGGGUGGGGAAUAUUGCACAAUGGGGGGAAGCCUGAGGCAGCAACGCCGGGUGCGGGAUGACGGCCUUCGGGUUGUAAACCGAUUUCGCCUGUGACGAAGAGUGAGUGACGGUAAUGGGUAAAGAAGCACCGGCUAACUACGUG